UACGUAGGAGGCAAGCGUUGUCCGGAAUUACUGGGCGUAAAGCGCGUGUAGGUGGUGGGACAAGUCUGCUGUGAAAGCGCCUGGCUUAACCGGGCGAGGUCGGCGGAAACUGUCCGACUCGAGGACGGUAGAGGGGGGUGGAAUUCCUGGUGUAGCGGUGAAAUGCGCAGAUAUCAGGAGGAACACCGGUGGCGAAGGCGGGUCUCUGGGCCGAUAUUGACGCUGAGGAGCGAAAGCGUGGGGAGCGAACAGG
rnacentral:rRNA from 1 species